UGCGAGUGCACGCGUCAUGGGCACAGCGGGCACAACCGCACAAACCCUACCCCCAAUCCAUAGCCGCCACUCCCUCCCUCCUUCUCCUUCCUCCCUCGUCUGCCGCCGCCACUCCCUCCCUCCUCGUCGCCCUGCCUCCGCCCUAGGAGCUUCGUCGCCUCCCGCGCGCUCGUCCUCUCAUCUCCCAUGGAGGGGAGGGGUGGGGAUGUAGGGGAAGGAGGAAGCCGGAGAUGCUGCUGCUGCUGACGUCCAUGGAGAUGCUGUUGAUGCGGAUCGAGAAAGCAAAGAAAUUAGGGGGAGGAUGUGAGAGAGAAGGAAGGAGAGGAGAGGUCAGGGAGAGCCCCGGUGUUCUACCCCUACUAGGGCAUCUUUGCUCCAGGGAGAAAGGAGGGGACCAGCGGCACAGGGAGGAGAGGAGGCCGUCGAGGCAAGUGGGGAGGGGGCAGCGGCGUGGGAGAGGAUGGAGCGGGGAGGACAUGAGGCGAAGGGGGAGCGGGGCUCGGGAGCACAUGCCGGCGGCCGGCAGGUCGAAUCGUCGCGCCACCGCGUAGUCGCCUCCUCUGCGCCAUGAGGCACCACCUCUGCCUCCACCCUCCACUAGGCAAGGAGCUCGAGGUGAACAGGCAGUGGGAAGGUGAGAGGAAGCAGGAGCUCAUCUCUCCUCCAAUGGCUGCCUCGUGCAUCUGGAGUAUAAGGAGGACAACACGUGCCUGUUGGAGGCGACUCGAGCAACGCAGGCCAGCGGCGAACUAGAUCUGACAUAGAAGACCACGUUCGUCAGAUUCGAAAGUGACCAUCUUCCAAUGGCUCUAAUGGAUGUGCACUCUUGUCUCCGUUGUUAUACCUAUUUUGGAAUCCAUGGCAACAUGUUGUGCUUUGUCGGCACAUUCGUGCAUGUGUGAGGUCGCAGAUGAAGAAGCACAGAAUGAUCAUUAUAUUCUCCUCUGCUCUGAUCUUCUAUUGACAUAUGUAAGAUGUACCUUAUUUCCUGGUAUUUCCUGAGAUUCUGAACUGAUUGUAUGACAGUGAUUAUUAUGUAAAAGUGUUUUCAGUUGUUGUUUAGUAUGGAUGCCUCCAUGGUUGCAUAGGCAUCCAUGGUUCUGUGAGGAGGUUAUCUAUGUCAUUCUGUUUUAUAUAGAUGUCUAAUUAGGUAAGCAAUCACACAUGGUCCUGUUACUUGUUUGUUUCUUUUGAUCAUCUUGAUGUUGAGUUGUGGGUUUACGCGAUCUUGCUACCCAGCUGGUUAUUUGAACAUGAAAAGGAGUACGACUCGGCAGUAAAGUCAACCGUGGGGAGGUGCAACAUGGCGUGGCCUCAACAGCCAAUUAGGUGUCCUCUAUCUUUGCCUAUUGCUUCAUCUGGGACACUGAUUUUGUUUGACUUAUGAAGGCACAUUCAUCCUACAAGAACAAUCAUGAUUUAGAGUUAGACCACUCUUGCACAUCGGUUUGCUUUCUUACAUUGAUUGUUGUUUUUUUGUGCAUUAUAUCAUUCACCUUCUCACAUAAUAGUCUGGUAAAAAAAGAGUGAACUCACUCCUGAAUUUGCACUAAUUAUAUAUUUAUGGCACUAUUAAUAAUUUGUAUUUGCAUUCUCUGUUGAGUUCGUCGAGUUCCUUCCUCAAUAUGCUUAGAUGCUUUUCUCAAUGUGAAUUGCAUCCGUGAUGGAAAGAAGCAAAAGUGUGAUGUAGCAUAAUCUCCAGCAUGGUAGAGCCGCGUAUCGUCCAAAUAUUUGUUCUACAGUAGGUUAGUACAGACUUAUUGGAUCAUAUUUUUCAGAAGUAUGUGAACCUUCUGCACAAUGAAUCAUAACCCUGAAUUGUUAUUUCAAAAAAUAUCUGUGAAACCUUACAUUUGUUAGCUGUCAUACAUAUUUUACUAUUCCUGGACAAUUCCGAUUUUUGCUAAUAUGCUUAUCAGAAGUUUUAUUUAAUCAUGGCCGAAAUUUCAACAGAAUUAGGCCUUUCAGUACUUCACAUUUGUUGAACUAAUGGCCAUUUUCUAUUUUGUUGCUGUUUGGAUUGUUCAGGUAUUGGAAGUUUUGGGUUCCACGGAAUUAUUGGUGCUUAUCUACAAAGUUUAUUAUGCUUAUCAUUCUAGAUUUUCUGAUUCUCAGUUGAACAGUACCGUUGAUAAAGCUACACGGUGGAUGCUAUUCAUUAUAUAAGGUUUGCUAUCAAACUCUCAAAAAAGGAAAAACAACUUUACUCUGUUUUUUGGAUAACCUUCCUGUAGAGUACCUCGACAGAGACAAAUAUGCGAUCACGGAUAUAUUCGAUUGAUUUUCACGCAAAACUUGGAGGAUAUUUUUGCAGAUAGUUUGAUGCUCUCAUGGUUAAUCUUUUUCUUGGAACUAUUGGCAUGUAGAGGAGGCUGCGUUUUAUUUGCUGGUUUAUGUGAUUGGCGGGGAUGGAACAAUGAGAGGAGCAGUGGUGAUAUUCGAAGAGUUUAAACGGUGUCGUUUGAGGAUAUCCAUUACAGGGAUCCCAAAAAACUUGGACAAUGACAUCGAAAUCAUAGACAAGGCGUUUGGGUUUCAGACUGCAGUGGAGAGUGCUCAGUAGGCAAUCGAUGCGACACAUGUGGGGUUGUGAAUAUUGUGGAUGGCAUUGGUCUUGUCAAACUUAUGGGAAGGAGCAUGGGACACAUUACUCUUCAUGCCACCCUGAGCAGCCUAAGAUGUUGACUGUUGUUUGAAUCCUAAGAUCGAUUUCCAUGUUGAAGGGAAGGGGCAUGUUGUCGUUGUUGUUGCUCAAGGCGCUGGUCAGGAGUUGAUUCCCCAGAUUGAUGACCAGAAGCGAGAGCAGGAUGAGUAUGGCAACAUGUUGUUCCUUAGCGUUGGCCUUCUUCUAUAAAGUUUACAUACAAUUCACCUGCAUGGUUAAAAAAGCUACUAUACUAAUGUAAAUGUUCUGUUUCUUUGAAGAUUACUCAUUUCUCUUACCAUUGUUGUAUCAAAACAAUUGUGUUUUGGCCGCUUGCGCUCAUUUUAUAGGAGAUUGAGAUGUGGGACAAGCUACUACCAAAUGUUUGGUUCCCAUCAAACCGUUUA